GGGUUUUAGUUAGAUUAACUAAGAAAAUCUCUUCUUAUUAUCGAACAAAAAAUUUAGAGUUAUAUUAAUGUUUACAUUAAAAAUCAAUUGGUGCUUUGACUUGAUGUGCUUGACGCAUGAUUGAUAGAAUAACAAUUAUCAUUGUGUUGAAAUAUAUAUAAAAAUAUUAUUUAAUAAAGACUUUAAUGCACCUUAACUGCCUUAGGCAUUAGUUAACAAAAGCCUAAUAGCAAUAACCAUUAUCAUCCUCAAUCUUUUAUUGAUUGCUUGAACUAUCGUCUGAUCGUCUUUAACAAGUAGCGUCACUUAAGAAAGUUCCUUGAACAAGCCCUUCCUGAAUAGCGCACAUUUCUUCUCAGUGCUUGCUCUUUUAAUUUUUGACACUUCAGGGAGAGUUGGUGUUGCCUAUUGUACCCGAAAUAUAUUUGGAUCCCAUCAUCACGCCAGCCACUAGUCUUGCUUAUAAAAGAAAACAUUUGCCAAACACACCUAGGACCAGUGACUACAGAGGCAAAGUCUUUAGCGAAAAAAGAAAAAAAGAAAAAAAAGGAAAAAGAGAGAGACUACUAAGGCAAAGUAAUUUCGUGUGGCAAAAUGGUGAAAGUUGAGGUCACUAUCAUUUCAAAAGAAACAAUCAAACCAUCUACACCAAUAUUGAAUCAUCUGAAACCCUACAAACUCACCCUCCUUGAUCAAGUCACUCCGGCAACUUACGUUCCCAUGGUCUUAUUUUAUCCCAUGACUGAUCUCAAUCUUGACGUGUCCCAAAUUAUUGCACAGCUUAAAAAUUCCCUUUCAGACACCCUCAAUAUAUUUUACCCACUUUCUGGGAGCAUAAAAGACAACCUUUUUAUUCACGAUUUCAACAUGGGUGCUCCCUUUCUGGAAGCUCAUGUUAAUUAUUCGAUGUCUGAGUUCCUUAAGCACCAAGAAACUGACUUACUGAGUUUGUUUCUUCCAUACCGUGCCUUUUGCCAGGAAUCAGAUAUUACUACAAGUCAAAUAGCUGUUCAACUGAACGUCUUUGUUUGUGGUGGAAUAGCAAUCGGAUUGUGCUGCUCACAUAAGAUUGGAGAUGCAGCAACAAUGAGUGCUUUCCUACAUUCUUGGGCUGCCACCUUUAUUGGGUCUCCGGAAAAAGUCAGAAGUCUGAAUUUCUCAGAGGGAUCAACCAUGUUUCCACCUAGAGAUUCACUUCCACCAAAGUAUAUAGCUACAAUGGAUAACUUGUGGUUCAAAGAAGGUGAUUAUGUUACGAGAAGGUUUGUGUUCCAUGACAAAGCAAUAACCACUUUAAGGGCCAAAGCGAAAAGCGAUCUUGUUCCUAAUCCAACACGCAUUGAGGCACUGACAUGUUUCAUUUGGAAACAUUGCAUGGCAGCUUCUAAAGCCAAAUCACCAGGUUCGGAAAAGACAUCCAUAAUGGUUCAAGCAGUGAACUUGAGGACACGAAUGAAGCCACACUUGUCAGAUGCUUCUAUUGGAAAUAUAUUUUGGUGGGCACCGGCAGGAGCUGAUUUGGCUAUGGAAGAGAGAGAGUUGGUGGACCUUGUAAAUGAAUCCAUCGCAGGGUUUGAUACUGUUUGUGCGGAAAGUUUGCAAGGGGAUGAAGGGUUUUCGACUUUCUCUAAUUACUUUGGCCACUUACAAGAUAUGUUUUUUGCAGAAGUAAAACCAGAUGUUUGUGCGUUUACAUGCUGGCUUAGGUUUUUUAACGAUAUUGAUUUUGGUUGGGGGAAGCCAUUUUGGAUUGGUAUCAUGGGGAAAGUUGGCCUAAGUUUAGAAAUUUAAUAAUUUUCAGUGAAACCCCACAGGGUAUUGGGAUUGAGGCAUGGGUGACCAUAGAUGAGAAAGAAAUGGUCAUAUUGGAGAAUGAUCCAGAAUUUCUUACAUUUGCUUCCCUAAAUCCUAGCAUUUCAGUAUCUCUUUAAAAUCUUUGGAUUUGUUUUUGUUUGAUGCCAAAGGUAAGUAAAAUAGAAAUGGUUUAUGGUACGCAUGUAAGUUUGUGUAUGGCAAUAAAUCAUUAAUAAAUUGCGUUUUGUGUCUUGGUCUUGAA